AAAUAAACCCGAUAGAAAUGAAAAGCCCCAAUUUUCAAUUGGGCUUGUAAUGGAAAGCGGGACUAUCG
rnacentral:sRNA from 1 species